rnacentral:rRNA from 1 species
CCUACGGGAGGCAGCAGUGGGGAAUAUUGCACAAUGGGGGAAACCCUGAUGCAGCGACGCCGCGUGAGCGAUGAAGUAUUUCGGUAUGUAAAGCUCUAUCAGCAGGGAAGAAAAUGACGGUACCUGACUAAGAAGCCCCGGCUAACUACGUGCCAGCAGCCGCGGUAAUACGUAGGGGGCAAGCGUUAUCCGGAUUUACUGGGUGUAAAGGGAGCGUAGACGGUCCUGCAAGCCAGAUGUGAAAGCCCGGGGCUCAACCCCGGGACUGCAUUUGGAACUGUAAGGCUAGAGUGUCGGAGAGGCAGGCGGAAUUCCUAGUGUAGCGGUGAAAUGCGUAGAUAUUAGGAGGAACACCGGUGGCGAAGGCGGCUUGCUGGACGGUAACUGACGUUGAGGCUCGAAAGCGUGGGGAGCAAACAGGAUUAGAUACCCUAGUAGUC